GCCAGUGUCCCGCAGCGGCUGGCAGGCUGGGGGUCCGGAGCGCAUAAGUACGUCCCGCUGGGGAGGGCGGUCCCAGACGUCGGGAGCUGCAGCUGCCGGGAGCCGCGGGGGGGGACAGGCUCACUUCCUGACCGAAUGAAUGAGAUUUCCUUCCGGAAGAUGCUCGGAAGGGCACCCAUUACCCUUCGCAGGGAAGGAAGCCUUGGGAAUGUGGAACAGAAGGACCGUAAAUAAAGUUUCUACAUGUAAUUCUGUAAAAGGCCUGGCAGAGAGGGUCUCCCAGAGCUGUGUGGGGAUAAUCUCAGAAAAACAAAAGUGGCCCAGGACUCUUGACUAAGAGUCCUUAGUCAGACUAAGACAAGCUGGCUUAAUUUAUGACGACCUUUCCUAUGCAGCCCCCUUUAUCAGUGUCUCCUGCAGAUAUGAUUACUACAAAUCAGUCCCCAGAAACAGAGAAUCAACUUGCUGUGAAUUGAGAAAUUUGGGUCUGUGAAUUUUCAAGUUGAGGACCACAGUGUGGAUGCAGUCAGAAAACCUGUCUUCUUCAGUUUGCUCUUAACCACAACGUCUCUGCUUCUUAAGUCAGAGUGUGCUUGUAUUGAUCUGACCCAACACGUGUAUCGGCCAUAUUCUGAUGACUCUCAGAUUUAAAUCACUGGAGCUCUCCUCCCAACUUCAGACUCCUACAUCAAAGAGCAUCACAAAUGGUGGUUCCCCCAAAAUUAAAUACAAAAUUACAACAUGAUCUGGCAAUCCCACUUUGGGAAAUAGAUCCCAAAGAAUUGAAGGCAGCAUCUCAGAUAUUUGUAUAUUCAUGUUUGCAGCAGCAUUAUUCAUAACAACCGACAGGUGGUAAUAACUCCGAUGCACAUCAGGGGAUGAGUGGUAAAAGUAAACGUGGCGUACACUUAUAGCACGACAUUAUUCAGCCUUCAGGAGGAAGGAAAUGCUAACGCCUUACAACAUGGAUGAACCUGGAAGACAUUAUACUAAGUGAAAUAUACCAGCCCUGAAAAGACAAAUAUUCUAUGAUUUCACUAGAUGAAAGAGAAUGUGGCAAAACCGCAACAGCAACCUAAAGACAGUCCAAAUUCAGAGUGACAAGGAAUUUCACAUCAAAGAAGUGGAUAUGACACCGAUAUGCCCAGAUCAUUGACCUUUGCAAACAAAAUUCUGGAGCCAGAGGGAACCAUUCUGGCUCCCUCUUCAAAAGGAAGUUCGAUUGCCUUCCUGCACUAAAGAAGUUUAGAGGAUGUAUCAAGGAGUGUGUGUGUGUGUGUGUGUGUGUGUGUGUGUGUGUUUAUACCCAACAACUGAGUCUACUAUUUGGCUGGGCAAAGAAUCAAUCAGUGUCAUUUGUGUUGAGUCUCUAAAAUGUGUGAAACAUUUUUUAAUUUCAAAAUUAUCGUCCAGAAGGAAUGGUAAUAUAUGGUGAGAAUGGUAAGAAAAUGUAAAUACGGGGUGCCUGGAUGGCUCAGGGGGGUUAAGUCUCUGCCUUCAGCUCAGGUCAUGA